AGAUUGUUUGCAGUUGGCAUAUAAACAUGCUACUGAUUUUCAAAACCUUUAAAACCCUUAUUAAAAAGGAGCGACAACCUAUCAAGCCAGAACCAAAAUCACAACCCAGGAUAAAAGGUACUCCAAAUAAAACUGAUAAACUUGACAGUAAAGUUAAAAGAAUUGGACCACACAUAGAAAUCUUCCAAGUGUUCCGAGAAAGAAAAAAAUUCAUGAUUACCCCAAAAUUGAUUAGAAUGGUCACCGUCAUGCAGGCACAUGUCAGGGGAUGGCUUGAACGGAAAAGAUUGCAAAGAGUAAUGACCAAGGCUUUGGAUCAUGGACCAGAUAUGAAAGCAGUUAUUAACAUGUAUGGCAGACUAAUCCACCGUGUUAGAUAUCGACGUGGUCUUUGGAGGACAAGACAAAUUCUCAACUUAGCAGAGCUAGAGGAGUGGAUGGACCGAAAAAAAUUCUAUGAAAUAAUGUUUGCUAAGAGGGAAGAUUGGCCAAAAAUUGAA
rnacentral:lncRNA from 1 species